UACGAAGGGGGCUAGCGUUGCUCGGAAUCACUGGGCGUAAAGGGUGCGUAGGCGGGUCUUUAAGUCAGGGGUGAAAUCCUGGAGCUCAACUCCAGAACUGCCUUUGAUACUGAAGAUCUUGAGUUCGGGAGAGGUGAGUGGAACUGCGGGUGUAGAGGUGAAAUUCGUAGAUAUUCGCAGGAACACCAGUGGCGAAGGCGGCUCACUGGCCCGAUACUGACGCUGAGGCACGAAAGCGUGGGGAGCAAACAGG
rnacentral:rRNA from 1 species